rnacentral:tRNA from 1 species
AAAAAGAUAAGCUAUGUAUAAGCUUUUGGAUUCAUACUUGAAAUAUAAAAUAAAUUUUUUUUUAUUA